rnacentral:rRNA from 1 species
UACGAGGGGGGCGAGCGUUGUUCGGAAUUAUUGGGCGUAAAGGGUGCGUAGGCGGUUCCGCAAGUCCUGUGUGAAAUCUUCGGGCUCAACUCGAAGUCUGCACGGGAAACUGCGGGGCUUGAGUGUGGGAGAGGUGAGUGGAAUUCCCGGUGUAGCGGUGAAAUGCGUAGAGAUCGGGAGGAACACCAGAGGCGAAGGCGGCGACCUGGACAGUGACUGACACUCAACUACGAAAGCGUGGGGAGCAAACAGG